rnacentral:rRNA from 1 species
UACGUAGGAGGCGAGCGUUGUCCGGAUUUAUUGGGCGUAAAGAGCUCGUAGGCGGCUCAGUAAGUCGGGUGUGAAACCUCCAGGCUCAACCUGGAGACGCCACCCGAUACUGCUGUGGCUUGAGUCCGGUAGGGGAGCGUGGAAUUCCUGGUGUAGCGGUGAAAUGCGCAGAUAUCAGGAAGAACACCAACGGCGAAGGCAGCUCGCUGGGACGGUACUGACGCUGAGACGCGAAAGCGUGGGGAGCGAACAGG